GGGCCCCUAGCUCAGUUGGGAGAGCGCCUGCUUCGCAUGCAGGAGGUCGUCGGUUCAAAUCCGGUAGGGUCCA
rnacentral:tRNA from 1 species